GGAAUAAGCUGAAUUCUGACCUUGUGUAUUUAGCAGAUAUAAGCUGACAAAGGACUACUUUAUUUAUAGUCCCAAACUUUUGUUUAAAGAUCCAUAUGCACUUGGUUUUUAGAUCCAUGAACAUGGGAAAACUGCAAUUCAUGCAUAUUCUUUCACACAUCUGUUGAGCUUUUUGUGGACAGAGGAAAAUCUGUCUCAUCAGAGGCCUCCAAGACACAUUCCAGAAAAACAGGAGUGGUAACAGCAUUAGGAAAAUAUACUCAGUGUGUCACAAGAGCACAGAGAAGAAUCGCCUCCUAUUGCUAUAGUGGCUGCCAAGUCCAUGCCAUUCAAGAUAUAUCUUUCAUGCUAACAUUGUCUGCUUCAAAGGGGGUUUGCUCAGCCAAAGUAGAGUUAAUUUUAUUUGCCCACUGAGGCUCAGGCCAGUUCUUCAGCAUUUAGUACUAUGUGUGACCUCUCACGAAAGACCAAACAGGAAAGGGUUUUGCAGUAUGCUCAGCAGAACAGUAGAGACGUGCAGAACUCCAUGCUCUGCCCAGUCAUUCCACCACUCCUCUGGAAUAUACUUCCAGACGUGCAGUUUUUAAUCACGAAGAGAGAACUGGUCAACCUCAAAGGAAACGGAACAGAAAACUAAAACUGAAAGCAAAACCAUUUUGUAAUGCUGGUACGUUUUAAAGAAAAUGCAGGAAGCACAGAAUUGAGCCCACUGGCAAACUUGAUCCACUCAAGCAGCCUGAUAUUAGUCCUUUGAAUAAAUCCAGCAGGUUUUCACACAGCGAUUGUCUGAGCAGAGUGGCCCAUCUUCCUCAUCCCACAAUACAUCUGCUGCUUCGUGGAAACACACCAGUGAAAACCACCAACAGUAGACCAAUUUGCAAACUGCUCCCUAGCUUCCUCAUCCAAAAUUGCAAACAACCAUGUCCUACACAAGGAUGUACGUGUGUGUGUGUGUGUGUGUGUGUGUGUGUGUGUGUGUGUGUGUGUGUGUGUGUAAGAGCAAACAGAGCUGUAAAUAGAGAUUGCUCUUUACUCUGUAAGUAUUGAUCCAUCUGUUCAAUACGAUUACCUCGAUAGACAUUGCAAAGCACGCCACUAAUCCCUUUCCUAAAUACUGGUCUUCAUUACAGGAAAGAGCAGAACUCAGCAGCAAAGAGAAUGUGUUGCUUAAAAUGGGAGCUAGAAGUAAUCCCUCGGGCAAUAGGUAGGGAGCCAUGCUUCCUCUCAUCUCACAGAGCUUCCCAGCUCAAUGUCAUGGUGUGCACAACUGUCCUGAGCCACACAGCCUGUGCUGGACAAACCUGAGACAGCCCAGAAGGUCAGAGGUUUCCCAGGUUCGAGGGACUGUAUGUGAGGAUUACCUCACUGGUGACAGAAUGUGCUUGGUACCCAGCUAACCGACAAAUCUAAUCAAAAGCCAGAUAAUAAUGCUUCUGUAUGCAGAGACGGGGAAAGCCUACCGGGAUGGAAGCUUUUGUCUGUGAUGCCUCUAAAGGUCGUGUAUCUGAACCUGCCCAAAAUCAAAUGGUAAAUGGAAAUACACAUUGCUUUUGUCUCCUGAAGGAAAGCAUGGCAUUGUGGUGGUCCCUUUUGAUGUCUGAAUUUCUGGGCUUUUCAUACCUAUCCCUUUAGGCUUAUCUUCUAAAACAUAUAUGUGUGUGUGUGUGUGUGUGUGUGUGUGUGUGUGUGUGUGCGUGCGUGCGUGCGUGUGUGUGUGUGUGUGUGUAUAAAGUAUUCAAUUUCUGUGUUAGAAUAAGUGAAAGAACUCAGUUUCAGAAUUACCAACUAUAUAUUUCCAUUUAUGUGACAUUUUGGGAAAGGCAGAAAAUACAGGAAUAGCCAAUGGAUAAGAGGUCCUUAGGGUUAAGAAGAAAAGAGGUUGUGAAUCCAUGGGUGGUUAGAAGGUAUUAGGACAUUAACACUUAUUUCUUGGCUACCCUGAGUGGCUGUAAGAAUCUAUGUGGGUAUACACACAGAACUUAUAUAGCCUCUGCAAACCAAAUUUUACUGUGAAGGAAAAUGUCAAAUUGACUUAAAUAUCAUGUGCUUCUAUCUGUGCCAGUGUGUCAGCAGGAAUCGGGUGGUGGCGCAUCCCACCUCCAGUCUACAUCAGUACCACCAUGGCAUCAUCAUGUCAGCAUCAUUAGCAUGAUGUCAGCAUCAUUAGCAUGUUAGUGCAGCCUUAUUUCUGGCAUUAGUACAGUGGUGUUACAUCUGGGUCCACUAGGCUCUCCAAUGCCUCAUAUCUAAGAAAUAGAGUUCAAAUGAUAUACUUCCAGGUCAGUUAGGCUCUCAAUACCUCAUAUCUUAGAGCUCAAAUGGUGUAUUUCCGGGUCAGCUACGCUCUCCAAUGCCUCAUCUAAGAAACAGAGCUUAAAUGGUGUACUUCUGGGUCAGCUAGGCUCUCAAUGCCACAUACCUAAAACACGGAGUUCAAACUGAAGUAAUCUGCCAUUGCCAUGAAGUUUUCACUGUUUCCAUCUUCCUGGCUUCUGUUUCGUUUCUCCAGGUUCAGGAGCCACUGUUUUUAAAUUUAUAACUAAACAUAAUUAAAAGUAAGACAUUUUUACUUUGUUUUACCAAAAGCUAUAACUCACCAUACAUUCUCCUCUUUUUUCCCCCCUUCAUUUUUCUUUCUUCAAAAGGAAUGGUUUCUCAGCAUGCACAAGGCAGGAGUUCAAUUCUCAACCUAAUAAAGAAAGAGGAGGGGGGUUGGGGAUUUAGCUCAGUGGCAGAGCGCUUGCCUAGCAAGUGCAAGGCCCUGGGUUCGGUCCCUAGCUCCGGAAAAAAAAAGAAAGAAAGAAAAGAAAGAAAGAAAGAGGAGGAAGAACACAGGAGAACGGAGGAGUUGUGGUUUUGAGACGCGCUUUGGGUAGGAAACCUCAAGACACCCGAAGGUCAAGUUCUCAGAACAAAGAUUUAUCUACACAUGAGGGAUGUACACAGGAGGGAUAAAGGGCACAAAAUAAGAUAAAAAAACAGGAGACCAAGGAUGAGGGGAGAUAUGAAGAAAAGGGAAAGGAGGCCCAGAUAUUUAUCCUGGAGGGACAAGACUGCCUCUGGAGAGAGAGGAGACAGACCCAUAAGCAAAUGGCAAUUUAUAAAGCUUACCUCAAGAACGGCAGCACAGACCCCUUCUCUUCUAGAUGGAAAUGAAGCAGAGACCUUGCCACUGUCACAUUUCCCAAAGGGUGCCUGGUCCCAGGAGAGUUAAAUACACCCAACCUAGUGUCCAGCAUCCUCCUGACCCGCAGAUGCGGUGCUACGGCUGUGGGUGGAGAGUGAAGAAGGAAGUCUGGCCUUUCAACCCUGCUGUCGCCUCUGUACCUCCUCCACUCUUCACCCUGUCAGCCGGGAGAGACAUGGGGACUGUGGCUGGGUAUGCUUUUAGGUGUUGAUAUUGUUCGGUCUCCAAAAUUCUGUAGAAGAGGAGGAGGGGAGGGAGAGGAGAAGGCAUAAGAAUAGAGGAGGAAGAGAAAAGAAAAGAAGGA
ensembl:lncRNA